rnacentral:rRNA from 1 species
UCUGUGGCAAUAGAGUGGGAUGAUUUUCAAGUAGAGGUGAUAAGCCUAUCGAGCUUAGAAAUAGCUGGUUAUUCAGAAAAAGAAUUUUAGUUCUGCCUUAAAUUUUUCCAUGCCUUCAAGCAAUAUAAAAAAUUUAAGAGUUAUUCAAUUAAGGCACAGCUUAUUUGAAACAGGAUACAACCUACACAACAGGGUAAAUUACUAAUUAUUAUGAUAAGUGGGCCUGAGGGCAGCCACCUUUAAAAAAGCGUUAAAGCUUAACUUAAUUUUCUCUUAUUAAAUUCUAUUAUUUAUUAUGAACCCUUAACCACUACUGAAUGAUUUCAUAAAUAUAUGAAAAACAUUAUGCUAGAACGAGUAACAAGAAUACAAUAUUCUCCAAAAUGUAAGUAUCAGCCAAAAUGGAUAUCCCAUUGGCAAUUAACGAAAAUGAAUCUACUGCAAAAACCCCCCACAAGAAAAACCUGCAUAUUUUCUCGUUAACCUAACACCAGAACAUUACCGGAAAGAUUAAAAGAGGGAGAAGGAACUCGGCAAAUUUUAACCCCGCCUGUUUACCAAAAACAUCGCCUCUUGAUUUACAUAAGAGGUCCAGCCUGCCCGGUGACAAAGUUUAACGGCCGCGGUAACCUAACCGCGCGAAGGUAGCAUAAUCACUUGUUCUUUAAAUAGGGACUAGUAUCAACGGCAUCACGAGGGUUACACUGUCUCCUCCCUCCAAUCAGUGAAACUGAUCUCCCCGUGAAAAAGCGGGAAUAAAGAUAUAAGACGAGAAGACCCCAUGGAGCUUUAAACCCAACAGCAACUCAGUAACACAGCCCCCCAUAGCCCACAGAGAAAUGCACGUCGGUUUUAGGUUGGGGCGACCGCGGAGUAAAAACUAACCUCCACGACGAAAAGAACUAAAUCUUUAUCUAAGAACUACCGCUCUAAGAAUUAGUAUACUAACGAACAAUGACCCAAUAAUUGAUCAACGAAACAAGUUACCCUGGGGAUAACAGCGCAAUCUACUUCAAGAGCCCAUAUCGACAAGUAGGCUUACGACCUCGAUGUUGGAUCA